rnacentral:tRNA from 1 species
GGCCGAGUAGCAAAGUGGUUACUGCGACGGCUUUAGGUCCUGCUAUUCCGCCGUUACUCGUGGGUUCGAACCCCACCUUGGUCA